GACGAACGCUGGCGGCGUGCCUAAUACAUGCAAGUCGAACGAGAGCAACCGGUGCUUGCACUGGUCAAUCUAGUGGCGAACGGGCGAGUAACACGUGGGUAACCUGCCCAUCAGAGGGGGAUAACAUCCGGAAACGGAUGCUAAAACCGCAUAGGUCUUCGAACCGCAUGGUUUGAAGAGGAAAAGAGGCGCAAGCUUCUGCUGAUGGAUGGACCCGCGGUGCAUUAGCUAGUUGGUGAGGUAACGGCUCACCAAGGCCGUGAUGCAUAGCCGACCUGAGAGGGUGAUCGGCCACAUUGGGACUGAGACACGGCCCAAACUCCUACGGGAGGCAGCAGUAGGGAAUCUUCCGCAAAGGACGCAAGUCUGACGGAGCAACGCCGCGUGAGUGAAGAAGGUUUUCGGAUCGUAAAACUCUGUUGUUAGAGAAGAACAAGUGCUAGAGUAACUGUUAGCGCCUUGACGGUAUCUAACCAGAAAGCCACGGCUAACUACGUG
rnacentral:rRNA from 1 species